rnacentral:rRNA from 1 species
CUGGUUGAUCCUACCAGUAAUAUACGCUUGUCUCAAAGGUUAAGCCAUGCAUGUCUAAGUACAAACAUAAAUGAAUGUGAAACCGCAUAAGGCUCAGUAUAACAGCUAUAAUUCACAAGAUCAUCCUACCACUAGUUACUUGGAUAACUGUGGAAAUCCAGAGCUAAUACAUGCAACAUGCCGGGACUGUUGCCCUCGCGGGUAGCUGAACUGGUGCACUUAUUAGUUAAACCAAUCGCCUCCGGGCGGCUUGAGUUGAAGUCUGGAUAAGGACGCAGAUCGUAUGGUCGCUUGUCGACUGACGACAGAUCUUUCAAAUGUCUGCCCUAUCAACUAUUGAUGGUAGUGUAGAGGACUACCAUGGUUGCGACGGGUAACGGGGAAUCAGGGUUCGAUUCCGGAGAGGGAGCCUGAGAAAUGGCUACCACAUCCAAGGAAGGCAGCAGGCGCGUAAAUUACCCAAUCCCAGUACGGGGAGGUAGUGACGAGAAAUAACAAUAUGGACCUCUCUAACGAUGGUCCAUAAUUGGAAUGAGUUGAGUAUAAAUCCUUCAACAAGGAUCAAGUGGAGGGCAAGUCUGGUGCCAGCAGCCGCGGUAAUUCCAGCUCCACUAGCGUAUAUUAAAGUUGUUGCGGUUAAAACGUUCGAAGUUGAUUGCCCGUCCAGACACGUGACCGCCACGGGGCGCCCGGUUACACGCCGGGGCCGUUCGUGCGCGCGCUCACGGCUGCGACUCACAAUGGUGUACUUGGGCGUUACUCUGUGAACGAGUACCGUGCUACCGGUUAACUCCGGCACGGGCUCCUCAUGGUGCUCAAGAUACUCACAUUUACCUUGAACAAAUUAGAGUGCUCAAAGCAGGCUAAGACAAAGCGUCCGGCCCCCCGUGGGGUUGGCGUUGGCCGAGAAUAAUCUUGCAUGGAAUAAUGGAAUAUGACCUCGGUUUAUACGAUUUCGUUGGUUUGUCAGAAACCUAGAGGUAAUGAUUAACAGAAGUAGUUGGGGGCAUUGGUAUUACGGCGCGAGAGGUGAAAUUCGUAGACCGUCGUAGGACAACUGAAGCGAAAGCGUUUGCCAUGGAUGCUUUCUUUAAUCAAGAACGAAAGUUAGAGGAUCGAAGGCGAUUAGAUACCGCCCUAAGUUCUAACCGUGAAACGAUGCCAAUUAGCAAUUGGGAGACGCUACCCUAUUCGGUGGCUCUCCAGUCGCUUCCCGGGAAACCAAAAAUCGGGUUCCG